CUUGGAAAUCACUUCUUGAAUAUAGUGGAGCCAGGGGGGUUGAAGGAGCCAGGUUCCUGAAUCACCAUUUGGAGGAGAGCCACCUUCCACUCAGGAACUCCUAUGCUGGACUUAGGUUUUCUGUUACAGGCAGCUGAUCGUCACCCUAACAGACAUAUUUAGGGGUGUCUAGAUGGACAAGAGGGAGGAUUGGAGCUGGCUACUCCCUGCUUCUUGGCUUGGGUGACCCUGUGCAUGGUGGUCCUAUUCAGUGAGAAAGUACACACAAGAGGAAAAACAAGAAGGGAAUCAUCAAGUAGUGGACAGAGCAUGGAUCUAAGACUUAGACCAAAC